AACGCAUCAAAACAGGAGCCGACCACGGAAUCUUAUAAGACCCCGACAUGAUGACAGAAACCAGGCAGUGUGAUGAGUCUCUCAGCUGAUGUUAGACGGGUAUUGCAGAGAGAGAGAGAGAGAGAGAGAGAGAGAGAGAGAGAGAGAGAGAAAUGAAAAGAAAAUGUGGCUUAUUAAGUCUACUUAUUAAAUACUUGGUAUAUUAAUCCUUAUUGAUAUUAAGCUGAAAUGUAUAUUUAACGUAUUGUUGUUGUUUUUUAAAUUACAGAAUGAUUGAUCUUAUAAACUGAUGAUGAACACAUAUGUAGACUUUCUUCUUCUUGUUUUUUUUUUUCACUCACAUGUACUGUACAUUCUUUGCGUGUAUAUUUCAGACAUAUCAAGCUAAAAAAUCAACAUGUUACUCCCUAACUGUAUAUUUUCCUGCUUUACCUGCUGCUUUAGUGGGUGGAAACACACCAGAACUAGGCCUGUUUCAGAAUGUAAUUAAGACUUAAACAGGUCUAGAAUCCCAGCGUGUAACUCGACUAUUUGUUAGAAUGAAUGCCCCCCCCCUUUAAUAAACAAUUUUGUCCGUUGUAUAUUCUAAAUAAUAAAAUCCGACAUAAAUCAA